AGAGCGAACGCUGGCGGCGUACUUAACACAUGCAAGUCGAACGGGGAUCAUCGGAUUAGCAAUAAUUCGGCGGUCCUAGUGGCGCACGGGUGAGUAACACGUGGGUAACCUGCCCUAGAGUUCGGGAUACCCCCUCGAAAGGGGGGCUAAUACCGGAUACGGUCCUCGGGUCGACAGGCCUGAGGAAGAAAGGUAGCGCAAGCUGCCGCUCUUGGAGGGCUCGCGGCCUAUCAGCUAGUUGGCGGGGUAACGCCCACCAAGGCUAUGACGGGUAGCUGGUCUGAGAGGACGACCAGCCACACGGGGACUGAGA
rnacentral:rRNA from 1 species